UACGAAGGGGCUAGCGUUGCUCGGAAUUACUGGGCGUAAAGCGCACGUAGGCGGCUUUCUAAGUCGGGGUGAAAUCCUGGAGCUCAACUCCAGAACUGCCUUCGAUACUGGAAAGCUCGAGUCCGGGAGAGGUGAGUGGAACUGCGAGUGUAGAGGUGAAAUUCGUAGAUAUUCGCAAGAACACCAGUGGCGAAGGCGGCUCACUGGCCCGGUACUGACGCUGAGGUGCGAAAGCGUGGGAGCAAACAGG
rnacentral:rRNA from 1 species